AAAAAAUAAUGUGUAUGUCACUUUUGCUAUCUUCAAUCUUAUGUUUAAUUUCUUGCUAGAUUUGAAUGUUUAAUUCUAUUAUAUCUUCAAUCUUUAUAUUUUCAAUCUUCAAUCUAAUUUUUUUAUUUUUGUUUUUGUAGCAAUUCUUAACGACCACAAGAGAAGAUGACCUAGACUAUAUGGAAUAUCUUAAUUCUAUUAUAUACUUAGAUGAUUUCUUCAACUGAGGGGCACUUUGAAGAAUGAACAAUUGUUGAUGCUAAUUUAUUUUUUGCUAUUUGUCUUUUGGAUGGUUGUGCAAACUCCAUGAACAUUGUUAAUUUUCAAUUCUAUUUUGAGCCAUGAACAUUGUAUUUUGACAACAUAUACAUAACUGUUUAAUUUGAAGAAUGAA
rnacentral:lncRNA from 1 species